rnacentral:rRNA from 1 species
UAGGGAAUAUUGGACAAUGGGCGAAAGCCUGAUCCAGCAACGCCGCGUGCACGAUGACGGCCUUCGGGUUGUAAAGUGCUUUUAAGGGAGAUGAGAAAGGACAGUAUCUCUUGAAUAAGCCUCGGCGAACUACGUGCCAGCAGCCGCAGUAAACGUAGGAGGCAAGCGUUAUCCGGAUUUAUUGGGCGUAAAGCGCGUGCAGGCCGUUUGGUAAGUUGGGUGUAAAAGCUCCUGGCUUAACUGGGAGAGGUCGUUCAAAACUACCAGACUAGAGAUUGGGAGAGGGAAGUGGAAUUCCGGGUGUAGUGGUGAAAUGCGUAGAUAUCCGGAGGAACACCAGUGGCGAAAGCGGCUUCCUAGACCAUUUCUGACGCUGAGACGCGAAAGCUAGGGGAGCGAACGG